rnacentral:rRNA from 1 species
UACGAAGGGGGGCUAGCGUUGCUCGGAAUCACUGGGCGUAAAGGGUGCGUAGGCGGGUCUUUUAAGUCAGGGGUGAAAUCCUGGAGCUCAACUCCAGAACUGCCUUCGAUACUGAGAGUCUUGAGUUCGGAAGAGGUUGGUGGAACUGCGAGUGUAGAGGUGAAAUUCGUAGAUAUUCGCAAGAACACCAGUGGCGAAGGCGGCCAACUGGUCCGAUACUGACGCUGAGGCGCGAAAGCGUGGGGAGCAAACAGG